UUGGCUGGUGAUGCCAUUCUCUUACUCUUUCUCUCCCGUUCCACAGCUGAUCUGGAGGUCAGGAUUCCCACCCCUGCUGAAAGUGGCUAAAACAGCAGGUGUCACAGUUUUAUGUGGUGUAAAUGAUACUCUCAUUACCCAGAUGGUCUAAGAAGGCAACAGCUUCUGGGAGGAGUAUGUGUGCACAAAUAGAGGAGCCCACGUUGCAGCUGAAACCAAGCCAAAGAAAUUCUCAGCAUUGAUUCUUCCUUCAGAGGAGAACCGAUACACGUGAGAGAGACUGAGGGCAUGCAGGGGCAGCGUUUGGGGUAGAAGAUCUGAUGGAAAGAGUCUUGGAAGUAUAAGCAAGCACUCCCUAUCUCUUCCUGAGGGAUCUGUGCAGGGCUGAGGGAAGAGAGGGCUUUGUGCACAUUUGUUGUAACUUAAGUGGGAUCACAUCAAAGAGGAGCCUGAUGCCAUGGCCAGCUUCACCUCCUAACGCAAACAGCAUGAAACUCUGCAGAUGUUUUGCCUUGGUCACCUGGAGCAGUUUUUCAAUUUGUACAGUCCAAAAUUAAAUACAAGUCCUGCUCACACAAGGGAUGUGUAUUUUCCAUAGCUGUUGGGGAACCUUGCUGUAGCUCCCUGUGUUUUGAAUUCCAUCCUCAAAAAUCUAUGUAUUUUCAUGCUGCAGAGCUAAUAUGCCUCUCUUUAGCCUAAUGUUCCCUAGCUGCCUUUUCUUUUCCCUUUUUGCUU